UCAACAGAGUCUGUUGUGAUAGGACAAAGGGAAAUGGUUUCAAACUAAAAGAGGUGAGAUUUAGAUUGGGUAUGAGGAAAAAAAAAAUUACAAUAAGGAUGGCGAAGCACUGGCACAGGUUGCCCAGAGAGGCGGUGGAUGGCCCAUUCCAUUCAAGGUCAAGCUGAACAGGGCUCUGAGCACCUGACUGAGCUGUAUGUGUCCCUGUUCAUUGCAGGGGAAUUGGAUUAGAUGAUGUUUAAGUGUCCUUUCCAACUCAAAUGAUUCUAUGAUUCUAUUAUUCUAUGCAUUUCAGGGCCAAAUUGUCACCAUGUCAUUGGUUACUUCAGUUAAGGAGGUGCUGGGACAUGCAUUCUAGUAACAGGUUGUGAAACCAAGGUCCUAACUCAAAUUCAUAAUUUGCUAGCUACUAUGGGCUUCUGGUAAGAUAAAGAUAAGAAACCUGGGUAAAAUCAGUCCAGAAACUAAAGACAAAAACUGUUGCUGAUGGGAAAUAAGUUGCUGGUGGAGUUUCCCUGUGUAUCCAUGUUACAGAUCAGCUGUGGUAUUUUUCUGUUGUUUUAACAGCAAUGGUGCAGCUAAUAGAAAAGAGAGACAAAUGUGAUGCUGCAUUAGGCAGCUGAGCACGCUACAAACACAGCACAGCCUGUUGCCGUGAGGCUUAGAUCAUUUCAGCAUCUGGGGAAAGGCUGAGGACAGUCAGAAAAUGAGCUAGAGAGCAAAGGACCUGAAAGGGAAAUAUCUGCUAACGGAAAGGUGUGGCUGGCUGGACUGCCUGGGAAAGAGAUCUCAUAAGUUACUGCAGGAAAGCACCUACGCCUGUUAGCCAUGACGUGCAGCACCAGCGAUGGAUUUGAAAAUUUACAAGACAUAAAUAUAAGGCAGAGCCUGCCCCGAAGUGCUCAGCAGCCAACUUCUCUGGUUUUACAAGAAGAGGCACUCUGGGAAGUCCACAUGAGGACAGCUGUGAUUCCCUCCAGCACUAUCCUGAUGACGACCUACAAGUUAAUGAAUGUGAAGAUGGAGAUGGCACAAAACAUAGGGACAAAGAAUGUCCUUGAUGCUUGUUCUGUCUUCAGCAAAAUGAGCUGUAGAUCUCAGCCUCAAGAAUUGUGACAACACUCAGCGACCCUGAGACAAGGAGGCUGGACUGCUGCCAGAGCCAGAUCUGCUGGAAAUCAGCAUAAUUCCACUGAUACGCUGACUGAGAAGGGAGCAUCAUCCAUUUUCAGCAGCUGGAGGCUCUUUGGGAGUCCCCAUAAAGGCACUUGUUGCUGCAAAAUGCAGGCAGAUGGAUCAUGUAUCCCCCAAUGCCCAGAGGACCAUUGCACUUCAAGGGUAUCCUUCAUUAAAGCAGUGAUAGGAAAACAGUCUGCAUGUCCCUAGUUAAAAGGAGCUGGUGACUGAAGGUCUGACUUUCACUGCAGUUUAUGAUAAAGCUCCUAUUGACCACAGCGAGAGCUUAAUUAGGGCUUUAAAGCCACACCUGGCAAAUAUCAUCCAAAUCACUGUAUCUUUCCAAAAAAAGCUCCUCGUUUGCUCGUUUCACAGCUCUGUGGUCCCAGGCACUCAGGAGGAACAGCAGCCUGUACCCACGUGCUCUUGAGACUGACUCCUCUUUCAUACACUCACUAAACUAUGUAACAUUUAUACAAUCCAGCAGGCUCCAUCUCAUAACUCCAGGCGAUUCUGAAAGAAAAGGAGAUAGCAUCAGUAUCAUAAACCCAACCUCACAUCGUCUGCUUUCAUGCUUCAGCUACCCUAAUGUUUAUAGAUCACAUAUCCCAACCACUUCAGUUCAGCUUGCGACUGGUUUUCAAGUCCGUGGGCUCCAGGAAAAGACAUAAUGGGCUGUUCAGAUGGAAUUAAGGAAAAUAAAACCCCUUUAUAUUCUCUUGCA
ensembl:lncRNA